AGAAUUAAAGAAGUCAGGCGUCCACCUGGAGAAUGAGGAUGAGAAAAGAAGGAGUCAGGCGUCCACCUGGAGAAUGAGGAUGAGGAAUUAAAGAAGUCAGGCGUCCACCUGGAGAAUGAGGAUAAGAAUUAAAGAAGUCAGGCGUCCACCUGGAGAAUGAGGAUAAGAAUUAAAGAAGUCAGGCGUCCACCUGGAGAAUGAGGAUGAAGAAUUGAAGAAAUCAGGCGUCCACCUGGAGAAUGAGGAUGAGAAAAGAAGAAGUCAGGCGUCCACCUGGAGAAUGAGGAUGA
rnacentral:lncRNA from 1 species